CCCUUGAUAGCUGAGUUGGUAAAGAACCUGCCUGCAAUGCAGGAGACCCCAGUUUGAUUCCUGGGUUGGGA
rnacentral:tRNA from 1 species